rnacentral:other from 1 species
AGACCCCUGCGGUGUACGUGAUUGGAAGAUGUUCUUUGUCCCAACACCCAUUUUAAAGGGAACCUUCGCUGGUUUUGGUGUGCAUGUUCUGCUUGAACAGAAAAGCCUAAAGAAACUAAAAGGUGCCCACUUUUUAAAAAUGGUUCAAAGACCUGCCAACACGGCACGUUGCGGGGGUCCC